rnacentral:rRNA from 1 species
GACGAACGCUGGCGGCGUGCUUAACACAUGCAAGUCGAACGAUGAAGCCGGAGCUUGCUCUGGUGAAUUAGUGGCGAACGGGUGAGUAACACGUGAGUAACCUGCCCUUGACUCUGGGAUAACUGCUAGAAAUGGUAGCUAAUACCGGAUACGACCCUCGGAGGCAUCUUCAGGGGGUGGAAAGAAUUUCGGUCAAGGAUGGACUCGCGGCCUAUUAGCUAGUUGGUGAGGUAAUGGCUCACCAAGGCGACGACGGGUAGCCGGCCUGAGAGGGUGACCGGCCAGACUGGGACCGAGACACGGCCCAGACUCCUACGGGAGGCAGCAGUGAGGAAUAUUGCACAAUGGGCGCAAGCCUGAUGCAGCGACGCCGCGUGAGGGAUGACGGCCUUCGGGUUGUAAACCUCUUUAGCAGGGAAGAAGCGAAAGUGACGGUACCUGCAGAAAAAGCACCGGCUAACUACGUGCCAGCCGCCGCAGUAA